rnacentral:ncRNA from 1 species
CACAGGUUUGGUCCCAGCCUUCCUAUUAGUUGUUAGCAAAACUACACAUGCAAGUAUCAGCAUCCCUGUGAGAAUGCCCUAUAAGUCAUCAUAUUCCGACAAAAAGGAGCAGGUAUCAAGCACACUCCAAGUAGCUCACAACGCCUUGCUCAACCACACCCCCACGGGUAAACAGCAGUGAUAAAAAUUAAGCAAUAAACGAAAGUUCGACUAAGUUAUGCUAACCAAGGGUUGGUAAAUUUCGUGCCAGCCACCGCGGUCAUACGAUUAACCCUAACUAAUAGACCCACGGCGUAAAACGUGUUUAAGAACAUUAAAUAAUUAAAGCCAAACUACAACUACGCUGUAAAAAGCCCUAGUCACUGUAAGCCCCACUACGAAAGUAGCUUUAAAUCCUCUGAAUACACGACAGCUAAGACCCAAACUGGGAUUAGAUACCCCACUAUACUUAGCCAUAAACCCAAAGAAUUAACACAACAAGAUUCUUCGCCAGAGUACUACUAGCCAAAGCUUAAAACUCAAAGGACUUGGCGGUGCUUCACAUCCUUCUAGAGGAGCCUGUUCUAUUAUCGAUAAACCCCGAUAAACCUCACCAACUCUUGCUAACUCAGCCUAUAUACCGCCAUCUUCAGCAAACCCUAAAAAGGAACCACAGUAAGCCCAACCAUAAUACAUAAAAACGUUAGGUCAAGGUGUAGCCUAUGAGUUGGAAAGAAAUGGGCUACAUUUCCUACAACAAGGCCAUUUACAAUCUUUACACGAAAGCUCCCGUGAAAUCAGGAUCUAAAGGUGGAUUUAGCAGUAAGCUAAGAAUAGAGUGCUUAGCUGAAUCAGGCCAUGAAGCACGCACACACCGCCCGUCACCCUCCUCAAAUAACCCAAUGUUAACCCCUAAACCUAUUAACUCAAACCACAUACUAUUAGAGGAGACAAGUCGUAACAAGGUAAGCGUACUGGAAAGUGCGCUUGGAUAACC